GAUCCGCYAAGGAGUGUGUAACAACUCACCUGCCGAAUGAAUUAGCCCUGAAAAUGGAUGGCGCUUAAGCGGAUGACCGACACCAUGCCGUCUGAAUGAUAAAAUUUUCAGAUGAGUAGGAGGACGUGGUGAUCGUGACGAAGUAUGUGUGCGAACACGUAUAGAACGAUCACUAGUGCAGAUCUUGGUGGUAGUAGCAAAUAUUCAAGCGAGAUCCUUGAAGGGCGAAGCGGGGAAGGGUUCCACGCUAACAUUGAUUGGGCGUGGGUGAGUCGUUCCUAAGCCGAGUGGCAAUUGCUAAGUAACGGCGAAAGGGAAGCAGGUUUACAUUCCUGCACACGGAUGUGGAGGCGGUGACGCUUUAUUGAGGCGAACACAUUGGCGAUGGCGCUAGGCAGAGUUGUCUUUUCUGUUUAACCGUUUGUAUAUAUUGUGUGGAGUCCGAUUAUCGGGAGAAACACAUAUAUACGGGCAGAGCGCCGGGGCUUAUCCGGCGUCUAGCUCGCCAUCGACGAUCCUUGAAACUUUGCCUGCUGAAAUUUUAAUAUCCACGCCGUGGCGUACCGAUCACCGCAUCAGGUCCCCGAGGUGAACAGCCUCUGCUCAAUAUGAAAAAUGCAGGUAAGGGAAGUCGGCA
rnacentral:rRNA from 1 species